rnacentral:rRNA from 1 species
GCGGACGGGUGAGUAAUGCCUAGGAAAUUGCCCUGAUGUGGGGGAUAACCAUUGGAAACGAUGGCUAAUACCGCAUGAUGCCUACGGGCCAAAGAGGGGGACCUUCGGGCCUCUCGCGUCAGGAUAUGCCUAGGUGGGAUUAGCUAGUUGGUGAGGUAAGGGCUCACCAAGGCGACGAUCCCUAGCUGGUCUGAGAGGAUGAUCAGCCACACUGGAACUGAGACACGGUCCAGACUCCUACGGGAGGCAGCAGUGGGGAAUAUUGCACAAUGGGCGCAAGCCUGAUGCAGCCAUGCCGCGUGUGUGAAGAAGGCCUUCGGGUUGUAAAGCACUUUCAGUCGUGAGGAAGGUAGUGUAGUUAAUAGCUGCAUUAUUUGACGUUAGCGACAGAAGAAGCACCGGCUAACUCCGUGCCAGCAGCCGCGGUAAUACGGAGGGUGCGAGCGUUAAUCGGAAUUACUGGGCGUAAAGCGCAUGCAGGUGGUUUGUUAAGUCAGAUGUGAAAGCCCGGGGCUCAACCUCGGAAUUGCAUUUGAAACUGGCAGACUAGAGUACUGUAGAGGGGGGUAGAAUUUCAGGUGUAGCGGUGAAAUGCGUAGAGAUCUGAAGGAAUACCGGUGGCGAAGGCGGCCCCCUGGACAGAUACUGACACUCAGAUGCGAAAGCGUGGGGAGCAAACAGGAUUAGAUACCCUGGUAGUCCACGCCGUAAACGAUGUCUACUUGGAGGUUGUGGCCUUGAGCCGUGGCUUUCGGAGCUAACGCGUUAAGUAGACCGCCUGGGGAGUACGGUCGCAAGAUUAAAACUCAAAUGAAUUGACGGGGGCCCGCACAAGCGGUGGAGCAUGUGGUUUAAUUCGAUGCAACGCGAAGAACCUUACCUACUCUUGACAUCCAGAGAACUUUCCAGAGAUGGAUUGGUGCCUUCGGGAACUCUGAGACAGGUGCUGCAUGGCUGUCGUCAGCUCGUGUUGUGAAAUGUUGGGUUAAGUCCCGCAACGAGCGCAACCCUUAUCCUUGUUUGCCAGCGAGUAAUGUCGGGAACUCCAGGGAGACUGCCGGUGAUAAACCGGAGGAAGGUGGGGACGACGUCAAGUCAUCAUGGCCCUUACGAGUAGGGCUACACACGUGCUACAAUGGCGCAUACAGAGGGCGGCCAACUUGCGAAAGUGAGCGAAUCCCAAAAAGUGCGUCGUAGUCCGGAUUGGAGUCUGCAACUCGACUCCAUGAAGUCGGAAUCGCUAGUAAUCGUGGAUCAGAAUGCCACGGUGAAUACGUUCCCGGGCCUUGUACACACCGCCCGUCACACCAUGGGAGUGGGCUGCAAAAGAAGUAGGU